rnacentral:rRNA from 1 species
UAGGGAAUCUUCCACAAUGGACGCAAGUCUGAUGGAGCAACGCCGCGUGAGUGAAGAAGGUCUUCGGAUCGUAAAACUCUGUUGUUAGAGAAGAACACGAGUGAGAGUAACUGUUCGUUCGAUGACGGUAUCUAACCAGCAAGUCACGGCUAACUACGUGCCAG